AGAGUUUGGAUCCUGGCUCAGAGCGAACGCUGGCGGCGUGCUUAACACAUGCAAGUCGAACGCGCAGCAUUCUGUAGCAAUACAGGGUGUGGGCGCGUGGCGAACGGGUGCGUAACACGUGGAUAACCUUCCUUCAGGUGGGGAAUAACCCAGUGAAAAUUGGGCUAAUACCGCAUAACAUGACGAUGCCACAUGGCGUUGUCUUCAAAGGCGCAAGUCGCCAGAAGAGGGAUCCGCGGCCGAUUAGCUUGUUGGCGAGGUAAUGGCUCACCAAGGCAAUGAUCGGUAGCCGGACUGAGAGGUUGGCCGGCCACACUGGAACUGAGACACGGUCCAGACUCCUACGGGAGGCAGCAGUGGGGAAUCUUGCACAAUGGACGAAAGUCUGAUGCAGCAACGCCGCGUGGGGGAUGAAGCUUUUCGGAGUGUAAACCCCUUUCGACCCGGAAGAAUGCCCGCAAGGGUUUGACGGUACGGGUAUAAGAAGCCCCGGCUAACUACGUGCCAGCAGCCGCGGUAAUACGUAGGGGGCCAGCGUUGCUCGGAAUUACUGGGCGUAAAGGGUCCGUAGGCGGGUGGCAAGUCGGGAGUGAAAUCUCUGGGCUUAACCCA
rnacentral:rRNA from 1 species